rnacentral:rRNA from 1 species
GACAGAGGGUGCAAACGUUUGUUCGGAAUUACUGGGCGUAAAGCGCGUGUAGGCGGCCCUGUAAGUCGGGUGUGAAAUCCCACGGCUCAACCGUGGAAGUGCAUUCGAAACUACAGGGCUAGAGUUCUGGAGAGGAAGGUGGAAUGCUUGGUGUAGAGGUGAAAUUCGUAGAUAUCAAGCGGAACACCGGUGGCGAAGGCGGCCUUCUGGACAGUAACUGACGCUGAGACGCGAAAGCGUGGGGAGCAAACAGG